rnacentral:rRNA from 1 species
AAGUGGCAAACGGGUGAGUAAUACAUAGGUAACCUACCCUUUAGAGUGGGACAACCUUCCGAAAGGAGGGCUAAUACCACAUGAGACCACAGUGACUUCGGUCACAGGGGUUAAAGAUGGCCUCUACUCACUAGAGGACGGGCUUAUGCACCAUUAGCUUGUUGGUGAGGUAACGGCUCACCAAGGCUGUGAUGGUUAGCUGAUCUGAGAGGUUGAUCAGCCACACUGGAACUGAGACACGGUCCAGACUCCUACGGGAGGCAGCAGUAGGGAAUAUUGCGCAAUGGAGGAAACUCUGACGCAGCGACGCCGCGUGGGUGAUGAAGGCCUUCGGGUUGUAAAGCCCUGUCGGAAGGGACGAAAAACAAGGUGGAUAAUACCCAUCUUGCUUGACGGUACCUUUAAAGGAAGCACCGGCUAACUACGUGCCAGCAGCCGCGGUAAUACGUAGGGUGCAAGCGUUGUUCGGAAUCAUUGGGCGUAAAGCGCGUGUAGGUGGUUAGGUAAGUCGGGUGUGAAAUCCCUGGGCUCAACCGAGGAAGUGCACUCGAAACUCCCUAGCUAGAGGACGGUAGAGGAAGGUGGAAUUCCUAGUGUAGAGGUGAAAUUCGUAGAUAUUAGGAGGAAUACCGGCGGCGAAGGCGGCCUUCUGGGCCGUUCC